AGCAUUAGGAUCAGUGAAUGGCUGAGAGAUACAAUGCCGCCCUACAGCCUAAGAUGCCAGAACAAUAUGACAGCAGUAACUUAUUACUGAUGAAGGAGGUGGGGGAACCAACAUGAAAAUGUGAUUGGUCAGCACACUAGAAGAAUAGAACAGCUAAUCUUUGUAAUUUCAUGGGCACCAUUAAGGCAAAGUGCUGCUUUUAUAUAGCUUUGAGGAGAACAAGGUACCAUACCUAGGUUUGCAAAGAGGUUGAGCGUUGACACAUGCAUGCUAGAUUUAGGGGAGGGGGUGUGGCAUUCCUUUUAGUCCUCCAGAAAGUUAAUGACAAAAGGUGGGGGUGCAGGGCAGGCCAUAAAUAUAUAUGAGGGAAAGGUGAGUUGAGCGUGUGUGUGUGUGUGUGCAGGUGCACACCUAAAUACAUAAAAGUACUGGUUUGUGGGGCUUUAUUGUCAUUACUGUACAAUUCCUACUGCAUGUUUCAGAGCAAUUUCUUAAAUCCCCCCUUGGCUGUGCUGCUUUUCAGACACCCACCUUCACCUGGGGGAAGUGUUAAUGCAUCAUGGUCUGAGGCAGAGCUACAUUAUCACCUCAUAUUCUUCAAGUUUGGGAAUGGGGUGAAGGGGUGGGAGAGAGGGAUUAUAAUCAGCUUUUAUACCCUGUGUCCCACUAGGGCUGAGGGCCCUGCUUGUAUCACACAAUAUGGAUAGAUCUUUAGUCAGUCCAUUCAAUUAAUGAAGGAUGCUCACACUAUUUUACAUGACAGAACUGGUACACUUUUAAGAAGUUAAUUGCUUGUGUGACCCAGUGGGCAGUGUGAGCAAGGAUGUUCAUAAAUCUCAGCCAUGGCAACUUUGGCAACCUGGCAGUGAAAAACCCAUCUCAUGCUUUGGAGAUUGCAAAAGGUGAGGUGACGAAGGUUUGUGAACUCUCAAAUCAUGUUACAUUAUUCAGAUAAGCAUUUUUUAAAGGCCCUAUUAAAGGGUCAACACACACACAUCUUAUCACAGCUUCAGUAUACCAAUGAUUUAAAAAUGACGGUAUUUAACAAUCACAGUUUGUCUUAAGGAACAGGACAACAUUCAUAGCUUGACACCUGCUUGGUAAUAACUUUAUUGGUCCCCUCAAUACACUUUUCAAAUUGAGUUCCCAGAGCAGCUGUCGACAUUCAGAACCACACACAAAAUGUUCCACUCUUGGAGAAUGUUUAUUCUUUCUGAAAAAGCAAUGGGACACCCCCCCAAAAAACCCACAAGAGAUAAGCUACUGAAUGGAACUGGUGAAAAGGGUGGCAGGUAAGCACUGUGGUGUCCAGAAAGUAGUUUCAUAGAUUUGGAAGGGACCCUGAGGAUCAUCUAGUUCAAUGCUUGCAAUGCAGGAAUAUGAAGCUGCCCCAUACAAGGAUGGAACUUGCAACCUUGGCAUUAUCAGCACCACACUCCAACCAUUUGUAUCCUUGCAAAUACUUCUCACCACUGAGGCCACAGGAACUCUCCGAUAAGUGCCUGUGGCACUAUUACAGGGUCACAGUAGUAGCAUAUGGUUCUACUGAGUAGUCCUAGUUUCACUCCUGGGCGAGUGAUUCAGCUUUUUCAAGGUAACACAAGAGCAACAUGAAAAAUGGACUGACCAAAUUUCAACAGAAAGGAAAAAGAAUGAGUGUAUUGCUGGCCGCUAGAGGAGAACAAGAGUACUUUCAUUUCUAUAAAAACAUACUGUUUCUUCAAACCCUUAGAAUCAGUUUGUAUAUAUAUCUUUGGAGAAUCUGUUGCUGCUAUCCACAGAUUCUGAUAAAUGUUUGGUUUAUUUCCUGAAUUAUAGAUGUUGCUAUCUGGGCACUGCAUUGCUCCAAAUGAACUAUGGUUCAAGACUUUUGGUACAUCAUGGGCUUCCUGCUCCUCACACUUGCGCUGCUAUGAACAAUAUAUUCAAACUGAUGAGUAACUAGAGAUGCCGAUGGCUCAUUCCUGUCCCCAAUUUAACAAGAGCAUAGAAUUAACACAAUAUUUACUGCAAAGCCCAGGCACUCUGUUUGUUUCUGUAAAAGGGCCAAGCCUCUGUUUGAGCUCCCACUAAGGUGUAUUCUUUCCUGAAUUGUAAUUAAUGCUUGCAGGUAAUUACAAUCUAAAGCACAACUGCUUAACAAUUCCCCUUCCCAAAGAAAACUAAUUUUAAUGCCAAGAGGAAAAGUAAUAUUUUAGCAUAAAACAAAUGUCAGAGGAUGAGGCUAGCAAAGGUCAUCAUAAUUUCUUCAUAAUUUCUUUAGUUAGCUAAACUGGCCUAUCUUUGGUGAAUCUGGAUGAUCAUCAAUAAACUGAAACCCACUGCUUCAGACAACUCUGGAAGGUGGAUUGGGCUUACCUGCUUCAUCUCUCUCACUCUGCCCACCCUUGGGAUUUGAACCUGGGUGAGAAGAAACAAGGUUACCUUUUGUUGGGCUGAAGUAUGGCUGGUGCAUUUACACCCAUACCCUCUCAAACAGUUUACUCCAGUGGCAAUUUCAGAAGUAAAUUAUGUAACUUCUGUUCCUGUCUGCAGCAUCAUGUUAGCGUAGAGAGUAAUAACAGUUCACAGCCAGUACAAAAAUUAGUCGCCAGCUACAUUCUACUCAGAGUUGAUCCAUUGAAAUUAACGGACCCAGGUGAGUCAUAUCUAUUAAUUUCAGUGGGCCUACUUUGAGUGUGACUAAUGUUGGAUACAACCCAAAAGUAGUUUACUGCUGGGACUACUGCCCUUUGAGAGCACAAGUGCAAAUGCACCUCUUAUUUCAUGAGAAAAAGCUGUAGGAUCUUUGUGUGUUUAACACAAAAGUACCUUUCUUAGGCCUACAAGUUAUUUACAAGCAAUAUCUAGAUAAAGAAGAAAGAGCUUUGAACUGUUUUCAUUACUCGUAUGAUAAAAUUAAUCAAAAUGAUGCAAAAAUGGGCACAUUUCCACAUUUUCCCUGAAUUUAUAUAAUUAAUGUUAUAACAUUCAGCUUUAUAUAAUUCAGAAUUUGAAUUACCUUGGCAUAGAAAUUUAUUUAUUUAUUUAUGGCUCUUCUACAGAUGAAAUAAUUUUCCUCAAAUAAGAGCUGUUAGCCUACAGUAUUUCUAACAAUUUCAUAUACAAUUCCAUUUCAACCUCAAAUGAAAAUGAUGUGGGUGCCUCCCAGCUUGCCCAGGGUCCAAAUGCUAUUACUUUGUGCCUGUUGCCAGUUAAUGCCUUGGAAGAAAUUUCAACACAGGCAGCCAUUGACUUGUUAACAUUUGUUUUUCGGUGCUGUGACAAAGAUUACCCACCCCCCUCAGUAGGCAACUGCAAAGGUUGCUCUGAGGAUGAUAGUGAAUCAGUUCUCUCUGCCUUCAUUUUCACAGCAGGUACCUACUUUAUGGAGAUUGAAUUUAGGGUUUUUCCAGGAUGCUUCUAUUUCAUUUAGCAUGCAAAGGCUAAUAAUUUGUCUCAAUUCAAUAAAACAGAGGUUGCAAACACUCUCUCUGCUUAUUUAAAGGAUGGCUUUGUAAUUAGUUUCUUUCAACAAGGGGGGAGGGGAACAGAUAAAAUAUACCAAAAUGGCAGUGCAGCAUUUUUGCAAAGGUGUUCUUUGGGCCGGCGUAUUUUGUGCCUGUCAGUCCUGAAAUCUAGUGAGCAAUUUGAACAGGUUGAAUAGCUGGGAUCUGCCCUGAUGUCUCUCAGGCUUUAUUUCAGACCCUGCCCCUCCAGCCCCGAUGGAAAUCCCAGCUGACUUGUUCCUACAUCAGAGGCAUCGGUCGCAUAAAAGCGUGUUGUCCCAUUCAAGUGCAUGCGGUUCUUGACAUGCUAAUAAUGAAGAAAAUAAGUGGGAAAAUCUGCCCAUGUCCCUCUUCCACUUCAGGCCUGCUGUUUUAUGGAAAGUUUGUUUAACCUUUUCAAAUGUUAAAUGCACCCUACAGCAAGGUGGUAUUUUAUUUUUAUUAUAUUAUUUCUAUCUAAUUCAUAAAAUCUGUGUACUGCUUGAUGAUAAAAGAAACCUGUAAGCAGUUUGCAAAAAAGGAUAAAACAAUAAAAGUAUCAAUAAAAACAGUAAAAAGCAGCUAUUUAAAACAUUC